UCAUUCACAUACCGAUUAUUAUAUCGAUUAGCUUAUUGUUAUGUUUACUCUUCAUGCUGGUAACUGUGCACAAGUGACAAGUACACAUAACAAUCAGAUAA